rnacentral:rRNA from 1 species
GGACCUGACUGCUAUCGGAUUGAUACUAAGCCAUGCGAGUCAUUGUAGCAAUACAAGGCAUACGGCUCAGUAACGCGUAGUCAACCUAACCUAUGGACGGGAAUAACCUCGGGAAACUGAGAAUAAUGCCCGAUAGAACAUUAUGCCUGGAAUGGUUUAUGUUCCAAAUGAUUUAUCGCCGUAGGAUGGGACUGCGGCCUAUCAGUUUGUUGGUGAGGUAAUGGCCCACCGAGACUAUUACAGGUACGGGCUCUGAGAGGAGUGGCCCGGAGAUGGGUACUGAGACACGGACCCAGGCCCUAUGGGGCGCAGCAGGCGAGAAAACUUUGCAAUGUGCGAAAGCACGACAAGGUUAAUCCGAGUGGUUUCUGCUAAAGAAACCUUUUGUCAGUCCUAGAAACACUGAUGAAUAAGGGGUGGGCAAGUUCUGGUGUCAGCC